AAAAUUUAGUAACUAAGGGUUCCAGUUUGUAGCUCCUAUUGUCCCUAUUUGAUAAGUCAUAUAAAAACUGAAAGAUUCCAGUGUGAAUUCACUA